rnacentral:lncRNA from 1 species
UUUUAGUUUGAAAAGAAAGCUACCACUCUUUUUGUUACUUAUAGGGCUGAAACCAAGUUCCUUUUAUUUCUAUCAGGAAAAAAAAUGCAGAAAAGAGGAAAGAUCCUCACUGAGCAUAACCAACAGCUCAUUAAUCAACUCACAUCAGGUGCAAAAGAUUCAGCUUUGCUGGCCUCCCACACUCCAGAAAAGUGCUUUGACUACGGAAAUAUCAGGGAUCUCCUUUGCAGCGUUUAAUUUUUUAUGCAGAAUGGAUCGGUGCCAGCAAGUGAAAGUGAGAUGCUGACUUUGAGCUGUUUCUUCUGGAUGACCUGCUGCGGCAUUCCUCUAAUCUUCUGGCUCGCCUUCAUCACUGCUUUUCAGACAUCUUUGCAGAUUCAUGGCAGAGAAGAUCGGGUCUCGCCUUGAAGGAAGACCAGAACUGAUCAAAUUUAAAGCUUCUGUAAAAACACUGAAGGAGUAAUCGUGUUUCUUAUCAGAGCCUGCAGGUAGGAUGUCCUCAAGAGACGGGACAGGUGGUGAGAGAUACUAGUGGUAUUGAUCAAAGAUGUUUUGACGGAGAAAACCAAUAGAGUAGUCUCUUUUCCUGACUUGUGUUCCUUCCUCCUUAAUCUAAACCACCAGCACUGCUACAUUUGGUAUUCAGAUAUAAAUGUUUAUUGACUCUGACAUGAUUACGAGCAAGG